GAUAAAAAUAUCAGCUUGGUUGCUUACAAAAAUCGCUCGCAGCCUAAAAGCGCUCGUCCCUCGUUGUCAUGGAAUUGACAAUACUGAUAAGGAUCAAAGGGACCAGAAUAGAUGCGAGGGGCUGGUUCCCACUUAACUCUUAGAAUCUCUUUCUCUUCUAAAUUUCUGGCUCUCUCCUGAAGAACAUUCUAGAUGCUGUCAUGUGGCCACCGCCCGUCAUUCUGAAUGCCACAUCCUCUGCUGUCCUGGAACAGCACCCCCUUCCUGGGAUAAGCCCCCCUCUCCCCCUCCCCCAGCCAUGCAGGGACCAUCCGACCACCCACGCUCCUCACCAGCAGGUGGUCAUGUGACCCACGCUGGGCCAAUCAGAAUUCUUCCCACGGGGAUGGAGAGAAGAGGGUCAGGCCCUCUCGGGAGGCGGGGGUGGGGCGCUGUGAGCCAGGAGCUGGGGGCGACCAGAGACAAAGACCAAAGGCCCCCUCUGCGACCUGGUCUCUGGCUCCAGUGCCUCCGGGCCCCUGCCCCACCCUGGCUGGAGCCCCUGUGUGGUUACACGAGCUGGGGCCCCUGCCAUUUCCAAGUCCUCAUCCAGGCCCCGAGCUCACCCGCCACACCCCACCCUGCCCUGCUCCUGGUGCGGCCCGAGGUGAGGAGGCCCCUUCCACGGACGGACCACCUGCCUCCCCGCCACUCGACCGCGUCUCCGCUUAAACAUCACCUCUUCAGAGACCUGCCCCGACCACCCCCUACGUGAACCCCUGUUAUUCUCUAGCCGGCCCCUCGUUUUUCCCCUCGUUCGCAUUUGUCACAAACGGUGACGUACGUGGGGAGGGCAUCUCACCUGUCAUCACCGCCCCCCGCCCCCCAUGACUGCAAACGACCGGCCGGCAGGGACCCAUACGGCUGGAUCAGUCAGGACCCUUUCAGGGUCAAGUUUCAGAAACCCAAUCCGAACGUACAGCCGGCGUACCUGGGGCGUCCGGACCAGAGUGAGGCAUCGGAGAUGUCACCGGGCCUCUGUGACUCGUCCCUCCACCAGCCCCACGGGGUCCCUCCAGCAGAAAGUAAGGCCCGGAGGGAUCCCUGACCCCCCCCCCGCCCCCAGGCCCACUUCCUCACAUGCUCUCCCAGCCACGAGGCAUCUGGCUCUGUGUCCCUGGAGCCGAGAAGAAAGCGGGGCUGGAGCUCUGGUCUGGAGCUGCCGGCAUCCAAGGGACACGUGCAACAGGCACGCAGAAGACAGUCCCAGGCCAGGCCCCAGGGCAGCGUCUGGGGCAGAGCUCAGGUGGGGCCGGGGGAACAGAGAGGGGGUCCUGAGUGUGCUUUGCAGAGGGAGGCCCAGGCGGGGCCCUCGGGGGAGGGGGCGGUGGCUUGGAGGGCCCUCGGGCACUCGGGGGGCCUGGUGGCUGGGGAAGCGAGGUCGCUAACUGCAGCCGGUCCCAGGGCCUUCCGCCAAACGCACACAUGGGCCUGGCCGGCAGGCGCGUCCCAGGUGGGCGACCCCGUGCCAGAACCAGGACUGCCCCCUGCUCUGACCCAGCAGCAUCCCCAUCUCGUGGACGUGAUGACAGAGGCCCAGGAGGGAGGCGCGACCUACCCACGGCCACGCAGCUGGGGCGCAGGGACACAGAGUCCCAGAGAAGCUUCCCUCCUUCCUUGGGUCAAAACGGAAAAAUCCCAGUCGCCCGCAGCAACCAGUGGCUCAACAAGGCAGCCGCAGUUAUCAUUAAAUGUCCCUUCCAAGCCCAGGAAAGCUGAGAUGGGGAAGCCAUCGGGCUCCUCACAGCCUUUGGCUAAAAAGGGACAAUUAGAUGUGUGGGGGCAGGGUUAACCGCGGGCCCCAGAGGCCGAGAUCUCCCCGUGUUGGAGCCUCCCCGGGAGAAUGACAGCCCUUCUGGGGACAGGACUUUGCAAACCAGGCAGGUGUCGCCCCUGUGACAUCCUGGGGGCCGGGGCGUGGGAGUGCUUUCCCGGGUAUCAGCAGCACCCCCGAAUCCUGCACGUCUCGGGGCUCUAUAGACAAAUGUUGGAGAACCCGGGGGCGAACCUUUGGCUGAGGACUGAGCUCUUCUCCCCGUGAACAUGUUACCCCCCAGAAACCUGGCCCGCGUGCAUUUUAUCCAGCAACGCACAUCCUGCACGUCCCCCCCGAACGUCAUAUUGUGCAUAUGGUUCCACUGACUACAAUCUUUAUUUCUAGUAACUUCCCUUGUCCCUCUUUUCUUUCUCACCACCCACCUUUCCUCCCAGCCCAGGCCCCCCUCGGUGGGCGUCUGCAAACCCUUAGCUGCUCUGCCCGGGCAGACCUUCGUGACCACCACCACGGGCGGACGAGGACGCAGUGACCGUGUCGAGAAAGGCCACGGUGUCUCUUGGGAAAACUGCUCCAUGAGCCCUGAGUUAUGUCCCCGUCUCCCGUGGCCACUGCAACAAAGUCCACAACCGGGUCUCCUUCUGCUUCUAAGGACACCGGCCAUUGGGCUAGGACCCCCUGGAAUCCAUUCGGACCUCCUCUGAACCUGUGCGGAGACCCUAUUUCCAAACAAGGUCAUGUUCACAGGUACUGGGGCUUGGGCCUUGGACACCGUCGAAGCCACACCAUGCCGCCACCCACGUAGUCCGGCUCCCGUGAGGCCGCCACGUGGGGCAGAGGCCCGGCAGCUCCAUCCGCCGCACUUGGAGCCUUGGCCCAGGCAGCAGACGGACGGGGCGGGGCGGGGGGAGGAGCCACCACCCGCCCGUGACCGCGCUCGACACGCCGCCCGGGAACUGCCAGCGGAUCCCGCUUCACCUCCAGACCCGCAAGCAGAAGGAGCCACGCUGUUGCGCGAACCACCGGUUUGGGGGGCACCGGGUAACGCACGCCCUGUCCCGCUUUCCACAAAGGCCACCGGCUGUCCGUUCCCCCAGCCAAGUCCGGGGUCGCCUCUUCCGUCCUGCCUCACCCUCCGCAUCGACUGAGCGGUACCACGCGCGACAUUUUUUUUAGGCUUAUUUAUUCAUUUUGAGAGAGAACGAGAGCCAGCAGGGGAGGGGCGGAGAGAGAGAGAAUCGGGGCCUUCCAUCCAGCAAACCCAACCGGGAGCCAGAGGCAGAGACCCCACGGAUGUGGCCCAUACGGGGCAGCUCCCAGGGCGCGAGGCAGACAGGAGGGGCAGAGGGACAAGCCCGGGGAGACGUCCAGGGAAGUCUGACGAUGAACCCGCCAAGGUCAUCCUGUCAGCGGCUGCUGAGAUAAUCUGGGCAUCUAGGGCUGGAAGAAACCUCCCCCGAGGCUUCUUAGUCUUGGGGAGGAAGCAGGGGCCCCACCGAAGAUCUGAUAAAAUCCAGGGUUUCCUCGCAGCAAUCGGGGAGGAACCCCUGUUCCUCCAGCUCCCAUGGCCUCCAGUUCCCAGCAGCACAAACACCACUUGAAACAGCUUUCUGCCAGAAAGGGAAUUGACCGUCUCACAGAGCGGGUGUCAGCCGAUGUCCGGAUGCCAACAGGAUGUCAGGGAACAGAGUUGGGAAGAGAAACGCCAUAGCACAUCACCACGUGGCACCAGCUGGAUAGAGCGGACACAACCUCCAGAGCAGAGAUUAAAAAAGCAAGGCAGCCGGCAGGAAGCGGCCUGGACGGUCCAGCCUCACCACAAAGCCUUGCAUACCUGGCGGGGACCCUGCGGGAUCGACUGUCACCGACUGGCAAGACGCCCCGGACACUUGAUUGUUGAUCCUGCUGAUGGCCGCUGACAGCCGCUGGGCACCGAUUCGGUGCCCGCGGGCCCGGCGAUUGUCACACGCUGUUGAUGUAAUUAGCGGCCAUCCCGUGACACCGUUGCUACCAUUGUGACCCCAUUUCUACAGAUGAGACAAGUGAGCUCAGUCAGCAGCACACAGCUCGGAGGCAGAGGCUCGGGGGGAGCUCAGGUUUGCCCGGCGGCCAGGCUCUCUCGAGUGGGGGAAAGGAC